rnacentral:rRNA from 1 species
CCUACGGGUGGCAGCAGUGAGGAAUAUUGGUCAAUGGGCGGAAGCCUGAACCAGCCAAGUAGCGUGCAGGAUGACGGCCCUACGGGUUGUAAACUGCUUUUAUACGGGAAUAACGCGCCUUACGUGUAGGGCUUUGCAUGUACCGUAUGAAUAAGGACCGGCUAAUUCCGUGCCAGCAGCCGCGGUAAUACGGAAGGUCCGGGCGUUAUCCGGAUUUAUUGGGUUUAAAGGGAGCGUAGGCCGCAUGUUAAGCGUGCUGUGAAAUGUCCGGGCUCAACCCGGGCCUUGCAGUGGAAACUGGCGGGCUUGAGUAGGCGAGAAGCAGGCGGAAUUCGUGGUGUAGCGGUGAAAUGCUUAGAUAUGACGAAGAACCCCGAUUGCGAAGGCAGCUUGCUGCAGCGGAACUGACGCUGAGGCUCGAAAGCGCGGGUAUCGAACAGGAUUAGAUACCCGAGUAGUC